rnacentral:lncRNA from 1 species
AGUAUUCUAUGCCUUUCUCUUCUCUUGAAUGUCUAACCAUCCGAUAAAAUUAUUUCUUUAACCAGGUAUAUCAAUGAAUUGAUUGAAGUCAUUUUACUUGCUAUCAGAGAUGAUAGCAAUAGAGGGUUGAGUGGUGAUAAGCGUACAGGGGAAAUGAAAAUGGGAGAUUUGAUCUCAGGACAAUUCUCUUCGUUGCAUAAUCAAGGGACUGAUAUGAUACCAACAAAUUUUGGGAAUCAAAGAGAAAUGUCUUUGGAUGAUAAUACAUCCCAGGAAGAGUCUGUGCAUCUGCGAGCUGCUGAGUGGGCACAAAUGCUGGAGGCUGUGACACAAAGAAGAACUGAAGUUCUUACUCCCGAAAAUCUUGAAAAUAUGUGGACAAAAGGAAGAAAUUAUAAGAAGAAAGAGCAGAAACGUGCAGAAAAAGCUGGCGUCCGGGAACACCUAGGGAAGGGUCAAGGAAUACAUAGUGCUGUUCCUACUACGAAUAUUGGGGGUCAAGGAAUACAUAGUGCUGUACCUACUACGAAUAUGGGGAAGGAUGUGCUCACCAACAGGAUUGGAUUAUCUGCAGGAACAGGGGAGAAAGCACUCCUGGGGCUAUCACCAGGAUCAAGUCUUGUAACUCAAAUAAGUGAGGGGAGUAAAAAGGAAACACAAUUGUUUCAAAAUUUUGAUGGGGAUCUGUUGAAUAAUACUGAUAGCGUUGGUGCAGAUGCAAAUCGAAGUAGGAUUAAGAACUCCAGCAGCACUUCUGCUUUGAAAACUGAACCUGAUUCAAAAAAAGCGUUUGAUGGAGAUGGUGGAGGGUCCAUCAUUGCUGAGUUUUACAGCCCUGAUUUUGGAAGGAGUGGGGAAGAACAUGGGCAUAAGA